GUCUUACAAAAUACAAUUCCAAACCAACUCAUGCAGUUAUUGUCUUUUCACAGUAUUGAGGAGUCAUCCUUUUUGCCAGCCAGAGUGUUAAUUGGCAAAAGUAAAAAAAUUCAUUAUUUUAAUUUUUUUUAGUAAAUAUUCACAACUAUAUCUUUUAUAUAAUAAUAUAUUUUUAAAUAAUAAUAUCUUUUAUAUAGACAUGCUUUAAUAGAUCUAAUAAAUGAUUAACGCGGACCUACCAAUAUGGGUAUAUUAAUACUUAAAUCUGGGUAUUUUAAAUUUCGAAUGCGCAUUUUUUAAAAACCGAACUUAUCUAUAGAUCUCUUAUAUCUAGAAUAAUAUAGAUCUACAACACCCAGUCUUAGACUAUGGUUCUAGAUCUAUUUAAAGAUAUUUUUUUUAAAAAAAUAACUCAAUAGAUCUAAUAAAGUCAUGAUUUUUACUCUAUUUUCUCUAGAUCUAAACCAUACAUGAGAUCAAUAUGAAUGUUUAUAGAUCUAGUCUACGUCUAGAUCUAUCGAUCAUCUAUACAGUCUAUAGGCUAUAGCUGUAUUGCCUGUUGAUCUAGCUAGUACCUGUACUAAUAUUAGUAGAUGUAGAUUGUAGAUCUAUAGUAUAAUAAUAAUACUUUUUUAUAGUAGAAAGUAGAUUUAUAAUGUAUCAAUUCUAUCUAAUCUAGAUCUAAAUCUAGACUUCACUUUCACAUCACGCUAUUAUUGAUACAGACAGUGAAUGAAACGAAUGCAGUGAUUAUAGUCUAUACUGAUUAUACUUAUAGAUCUACCAGUUGAUAAUCAUCAUCAUCAUAGAUAAUAAUCUAGACUAGUAUUCUAGAUCUAUAAAUAAUCAUAGUCACCGUGAUAGUGCCCUUUUUAGUCAAUGUAGUCAAGUCAAGAUAGUGGAACGUAAACUCGAAGGUUUAAUACAAUACAGUAUAAGCUAUGAUUAUUAACAAGUAGAACCAUGCCAACCAGUUCUGAUGAUGUACCCGAAUGGCUCAAGGAUCAUACUUAUACUAUUUCUACUCUCUGGGCAGACAUUAAUAAUAUUGGCAUCCAUUCAAUAUUUAUUUUAUGUUUGGAAAUGGAAGAAAAAGGUAUGCAUUCCUGACAAGUCAAUGAUUGGUUGCACCUCUAAAGAUAACUUUCUGUUAUGAGAAAAGAUGAGAUUCUUGGACUCCUGCAUAGCACCACCAGAAAGGAAAAUCCCAUCAUGUUGCAAAAUAAAAGUCUUGGACCAAUUUUAAUUUAAGAUAUAUAUAUUAUACUGUAAGCUCUAUACAUAUUUAUGUGUAUCCUGUCAUUCAGCCAACAGGUUUGGAUUUAGCAUUUCUUUAAAUCUGUUUGAUAUUGUACUUGAAAACUAUUAAUCUGAGCCCCAUUAAAACAAUAGGGAGUGCAGUGAAUGAGUGGUAAAGCACUUGGCUUCUGAACUGAGGGUUCCUGGGUUCGAUUAAGACUGGGAUUUUCAAUUUCAGAAUUCAAAAGGCUAGGGAUACAUGGCAAUAGUAAGGAAUAAGUAAAGGCAGUUUGGGGAUCCAUGGCUGAAUGGUUAAGUCAUGGGUUUGAAUCUCUGUGAAGACUCAGAUUAAAUUUUUUUUUAGAUUUUUGGGUGCCCCUGAGUCCACCUAACUCUAAUGGGUAGCUGACUUUCGUUUUGGAAAGUAAAGAUGGUUGGUUGUUGUGCUGGCCACAUGAUGCACUGGCCAAAGAAUCAAAUGACCCUAUAGAUUGUGACGUCUGAAAUGGGAUUUUUUUUCAAAAGGUGGUUGGUUGUUGUGCUGGGUACAUGACACCCUCGCUAACCAUGGGGCACAGAAACUGAUAAACUUUAUAUCAUCUGCCCCAUAGAUUGCAAGAUAUGUAAGGGAAAUUUUACUUUUUUAAAAUUAAAAUAAGAAUCUAUCAAAAGUAAACAUAAAAUAUGGUGCAUUCUCCUUAAGACUAAAACCUUGUGCGAAGGUUUAAAAUGUUGGUAAAAAAAAGCAACAUCAUAUAUUCUUAAUUCCCUUUGCAAAACUUACUGAGAAGAAUAUGCAUGUUGUUCCCUCAUAAGUUUCUUGACAGAGGAAAUCUUGUUUAUAUUAGAUUUGAAUUAAGCAAAUUAAGAAAAAAAUUAUAAUCAUUAUUUCAAAUGGUUGUAUCUAAACCUUAUGAAUUAUUUUUCAGUUCUAAGUAUAUUGAGAUUAAUGGAUAAUCAUGAAAUUGUUAAAUAAUUGCUGCUAUCAUUCCAUUGACUAAAGAACCAUAAUUUAUUUUUUUUUUAAUUAAUUUCAAAAUGAUUUUUUUCAAGCAUAGAGUUCACAUAGAUCUUGAGUGAAUUUUUUUUUAUUUGACUAAUGCUUCAAUUUUAUUGUAUCAUAUUAGUUGUUAAUUUUUAUUUACCCAGAAUAUUUAAAAAAUGAGUACACUAUUUUCAUGUAAUAAUGUAACUUGGUAUUCACACAAUGCUCAAAAUACACCAUAAUCUUUAGGCCAUACAGAUUUGUAUAAAUCAACUUGUUUAAAUA